GCCUCGUUAGCUCAGCGGACCAGAGCAGCCGGUUUCUACCCGGCGGGUCGGCCGUUCGAAUCGGUCACGAGGCU
rnacentral:tRNA from 1 species